ensembl:lncRNA
UCGAUUCCGGGGCGUUGAGAAUCGAGAGUCGAAUUCCAAAGGUUGGAAUCGAUUCCAUCAAGGGGAGUCGACUCCUCAUUCAGAGUCUUUUUCAGUUCAACAAAGCUUAUCAACGGGAGUCUCUCAAACGGAAGGCUAUCCGACAAAAGCUGCACACAUUUAAAUCCACGAAAAAAGAAAAGAAAAAAAAAAAACAGAAAGAAAACGAGUCGGUAGGCUACUGAUCAAUUGAAUUUUAGGAUGUAGGCUAGCCUUCCGUUUCAGAAGCACAAUUCACCAAAGCCAUAAUUACAACAGUUGUGAAAUAAAAGAUUAUUAUAUAUAUAAAACGAUUCAGAGGUUAUUUUACGGUAGAACUGGCUUGUCCACAAUUUUGAGCGGUUCAUGACAGAAUAGAUCAUGACGUCAAUGAGGGUCUUGAUCUUAUUACCAUCUAAAAUACUAUUUUUUAAAAACAUUUCUAUCAGCCAAUGAUAAUUAUAAAAGAACACGUCACGAGCAUAGAUCAGUGGCCGAGAGCGCAUCUGAUUGACAGAUAAACCAUGAGCUCUAUCAGUUAUUAAUGUUCUGGUUAUUUAGUUUAAGUGUACAGUUUGUUAAUAUUGUGCAAAGUAUACAAAGUAAACUUCAUCAUUCAGCUCAACUGUGCACAUUUCUUUUAGACACUUCAUGUCUUAUUUAAUAUAUGCGAUAAACGCAUGUCCCUGAUUAGCUGGGCUAAGACUAAUUUCACGAGCAAAGCUGAAAAAACAAAACUUUUCAUAUCAUCAUCAUUUUUUUUUUUUUUUACAAAUUUUUUCAGCUUCAUAUUAUAUGAAGGAUACAUUAUACGACCUAUCCUGCAGUCAUCAUGAUGAGAUUAGGUUCCUUUAAUCUAAAAAAAAAGAACAAGAAUUGAAAAAGAAUCUAAAACAACAGUGAGGAAUCGAUUCUUGGAAUCGAUUCCCAUCGAUUCCAGGACCAGGAAUUGGAAUCGGAAUCGAUUCCAAAAAUUGUGGAAUCGAACAGCCCUAG